GAGGGGGCCAAAGGCGACGGGGAAGGGUAUGACUAGAGGGAGAGGAAGUGGUGCGACAUGCACGUCGUAUAUGUGACUGUAUGUAUGUGCGUCAGGUUUAGAGGCGGUGUGUGCUUCAUCAGGAGGGGGCUUGAGAUGUCCCUCCCCGCAGUCCUCACGGUAAACAGACAAGACACACGUACAUACACACACACAUACACACGGCACGACACGGCCGGACGCGACACGACACGGCACGACAAUGCGCCCUAAGAAAGACACAUCCUCGCUAUCCGUACCGUCACACGUACCAUCGGUGGGCCCAAUGACGGUACGGUAGCGCACCCCGACAGCUCUAAGGCGCGUGUCCAUAAGGCCCACGAAUGCGGGCAGUACCCCCAGUCGUACACAAACCGUCAGUUUGAG
rnacentral:lncRNA from 1 species